GACGAAGAAGAACAAAAUGCUGGAAACAAUCCAUCAGGAAAAAAACACACCAAGUUGUAUGGAUCUUAGCGGCCCACCCGCGGACAAAGGGAAAGCAGUAAUUGUUGAAAAGAAACUACCAACACCUAUGUCCAGCUGCAGCAUCACACCCUGCCGACAAUGAUGAUGACUCGUGUCCCUACCGCCCUCCACAAAACCAACUACUACCAUAACACACCCUGCCGACGAUGAUGAUGACUUUGUGUCCCAACCGAUAACGACAAAACCAACUACUGCCCCAUCACACCCUGUUGUCGGGGAUGUUGGCAAUGUACCCGAACCACCAGAGGGUAAAAGACGUCAACAGCAGCUAGGAGGAAAUCGACAAGGCCGCCGAUCUCGUUGCUUUCAAAACCAUAUGAGCCGUUCACUGGCCCAAAAAUUAAACAAAAGACGUCUCCGGAUAACCUGGUGAUAUUGGUUAACAAUCUAAA